CCAAAGAAAUAAUCCCAACAUUUCUGUUCAUUUCUCUGUGAUCUUUGCAAAUUCUUUGAGCAAAUAAAUUGACAAAUUCCCACUUUAAUUAUAAAUAUAUAUAUUAGUAACAUUUUAGAUAUUCCCUUCAGUAGCUACAUUGUGCUGAAGAAAAUUGCUCAUGAAUACCAAAAAUUUGAAUGUAAACAGGAAGUGCUUUGUUCAUGUUGUUGGAGGCAUUAAUGGAUUGGAGAUAAAUAAUAAUUGUGAAGCUGGAAAUUCUUAAAUGCAUUCAGAGGGACAUCAGGUAAAAGAGUGAGUUCCAGCAACAUAUAUCUUCUAAAAUAUGUGUGAUCAGAUAUAGAAUUUUAUAGUUAUUAAUGGUUUUGGAGGAAAAUGAACAGAAAUUUGGGAAAAAGUUACAGAUUAUGUAUGCUGCGGAGAAAGAUGUCGUUCAGGCGAUCAACCAGAAAUCUGCUGAUCCUAGGUCAACGUUAGCAGCAUC
rnacentral:lncRNA from 1 species